rnacentral:rRNA from 1 species
CCUACGGGGGGCAGCAGUGGGGAAUAUUGGACAAUGGGGGGAACCCUGAUCCAGCCAUGCCGCGUGUGUGAAGAAGGCCCUCGGGUUGUAAAGCACUUUCAGUGAGGAAGAACGCCUGGUGGUUAAUACCCAUCAGGAAAGACAUCACUCACAGAAGAAGCACCGGCUAACUCCGUGCCAACAGCCGCGGUAAUACGGAGGGUGCGAGCGUUAAUCGGAAUUACUGGGCGUAAAGCGCGCGUAGGUGGCUUGAUAAGCCGGUUGUGAAAGCCCCGGGCUCAACCUGGGAACGGCAUCCGGAACUGUCAAGCUAGAGUGCAGGAGAGGAAGGUAGAAUUCCCGGUGUAGCGGUGAAAUGCGUAGAGAUCGGGAGGAAUACCAGUGGCGAAGGCGGCCUUCUGGACUGACACUGACACUGAGGUGCGAAAGCGUGGGUAGCAAACAGGAUUAGAUACCCUAGUAGUC